rnacentral:rRNA from 1 species
UACAGAGGGGGCAAGCGUUGUUCGGAAUUACUGGGCGUAAAGGGCUCGUAGGCGGCCAACUAAGUCGGAUGUGAAAUCCCCAGGCUCAACCUGGGAACUGCAUCCGAUACUGGAUGGCUUGAAUUCGGGAGAGGGAUGCAGAAUUCCAGGUGUAGCGGUGAAAUGCGUAGAUAUCGAGAGGAACACCAGUGGCGAAGGCGAGUCCCUGGACAACACCUGACACUGAGGCACGAAAGCUAGGGGAGCAAACAGG